rnacentral:rRNA from 1 species
GACGAACGCUGGCGGCGUGCCUAAUACAUGCAAGUCGAGCGGACCACUUCGGUGGUCAGCGGCGGACGGGUGAGUAACACGUGGGCAACCUGCCUGUAAGACGGGGAUAGCACCGGGAAACCGGUGCUAAUACCGGAUAAUCCUUUUCUUCACAUGAAGGAAAGCUGAAAGACGGUUUCGGCUGUCACUUACAGAUGGGCCCGCGGCGCAUUAGCUAGUUGGUGAGGUAACGGCUCACCAAGGCCACGAUGCGUAGCCGACCUGAGAGGGUGAUCGGCCACACUGGGACUGAGACACGGCCCAGACUCCUACGGGAGGCAGCAGUAGGGAAUCUUCCGCAAUGGACGAAAGUCUGACGGAGCAACGCCGCGUGAGCGAUGAAGGCCUUCGGGUCGUAAAGCUCUGUUGUCAGGGAAGAACAAGUACCGGAGUAACUGCCGGUAUCUUGACGGUACCUGACCAGAAAGCCACGGCUAACUACGUGCCAGCCGCCGCAGUAACAC